ACAAAUAGAAAGACCAAAUCAGCUUACAAGACAAGUUUCAGAUACUAAAGAAAGCAUAUACUAUGAUCUCACAGAUGAAGAAAAAGAACAAAAUUUUUCAGACGACUCUGAAAGCAAAAUUGACGAAUACUAACAGCUCUAAAUGGACCGAAUAUAUUAAUCUGGAACUAUCACAAAGACCUGAGUGUGUUUAGGGAAGAAUGAUCUGGAAGACUUUAUUUAGUCUUACAUAGCAUUGGCAAGGCAG